GAUGAACGCUGGCGGCGUGCCUAAUACAUGCAAGUCGAGCGAACAGAUAAGGAGCUUGCUCCUUUGACGUUAGCGGCGGACGGGUGAGUAACACGUGGAUGACCUACCUAUAAGACUGGGAUAACUUCGGGAAACCGGAGCUAAUACCGGAUAACAUAUUAAACCGCAUGGUUCAAUAGUGAAAGGCGGCUUUGCUGUCACUUAUAGAUGGAUCCGCGCCGUAUUAGCUAGUUGGUAAGGUAACGGCUUACCAAGGCAACGAUACGUAGCCGACCUGAGAGGGUGAUCGGCCACACUGGAACUGAGACACGGUCCAGACUCCUACGGGAGGCAGCAGUAGGGAAUCUUCCGCAAUGGGCGAAAGCCUGACGGAGCAACGCCGCGUGAGUGAUGAAGGUCUUCGGAUCGUAAAACUCUGUUAUCAGGGAAGAACAAAUGUGUAAGUAACUGUGCACAUCUUGACGGUACCUGAUCAGAAAGCCACGGCUAACUACGUG
rnacentral:rRNA from 1 species